AAACCCUAAUGCUGACUAAAGGGAAAAUUCAGUUUAGGGUUUAAAACCCUAAUGUUGAUUGCAUGAAAAAGCUCAGUUUAGAGUUUAAAACUCUAAUGCUGGCUGAAAGGAAAAAGUUCAGUUUAGGGUUUAAAACCCUAAUGCCGACUAAAGGGGAAAUUCAGUUUAGGGUUUAAAACCCUAAUGCUGAUUGCAUGAAGAAGCUCAGUUUAGAGUUUAAAACUCUAAUGCUGGCUGAAAAGGAAAAGUUCGGUUUAGGGUUCAAAACCCUAAUGCUGACUAAAGGGAAAAUUCAGUUUAGGGUUUAAAACCCUAAUGCUGAUUGCAUGAAAAAGCUCAGUUUAGAGUUUAAAACUCUAAUGCUGGCUGAAAGGAAAAAGUUCAGUUUAGGGUUUAAAACCCUAAUGCCGACUAAAGGAAAGUUCAGUUUAGGGUUUAAAACCCUAAUGCUGAUUGCAUGGAAAAGCUCAGUUUAGAGUUUAAAACUCUAAUGCUGGCUGAAAGGGAAAAGUUCAGUUUAGGGUUUAAAACCCUAACGCUGACUAAAAGGAAAAUUCAGUUUAGGGUUUAAA
rnacentral:lncRNA from 1 species